AAAUAGGGCGCUGGCUUUGCCAGGAGCGGCUCCUCUCCAAGCCUGGCGGUCACUGCCCUGUGUCCCCUUUUGGGCCUCUCCUGGUCCUCCUGGUUGGAUUAGGAGGCCUCUCAGCCCGGAGUCUGGGUCGCCGAAGUACAGGCCCCUUCACUGAAGCGACCCACGGCGCAGGGGUUUCUGGAAGCCAUCGCCAGGCUCCGAGUGUUCAGAUGCAGCUGCCAGGCUCAGGACGCAGAGAACUGGCUUCCAGCUCGCAGGAGCGCCUGUCCGUGGUGGGUAGGGUCGCAGGCGUGGGGUGUGCAGGAGCAGUGGGACAGCACUGAAACGCAGUCGGAAGAGAUACCACGGUGUGCAGGCACAGGGAAAAGACCACGUGAGGACACAGAGAGAAGACGGCCGUCUGCAAGCCAAGGAGAGAGGCCUCAGGUGAAACCAAACCUGCAGGCACCUUGAUCUUGGACUUCCAGCCUCCAGAAGCUUGAGAAAAGAAAUUUCUGUUGUUUAAGACACCCAUUCUGUGGUAUUUGUUCUGGCAGCCCUAACAAACUAAUAUAGGGAUCUAAAGAUUCCUUGUCUUCAUUUUGAGUAAGAGACUAUAAACUCAGAACUGUGGAGAUCUAGUUAGGUAUUGUACAGCUAGCCUCAUUCUGUCUUAAACUCCAGGUAAAAGAGAAAAAUAUGGAGACAGCCCCUGACUUUGGAGAACUUGCAGUUUUGUGGAGGUGAAAGGAGGCAGCCACAAGAAAAACCCCUGACAUCAAUUCAAAACUAUAAAUAACAAAGACUAACUUGUUCUAUGCACAACAGGUACUACAGCACUGUCCAACAUGGGGACAUGUGAGUGGCCUGAAGCAGCACAAGAACUGGGCAAUAAACUUGAGAUGAACCUCAAAGCAUCAAUAUUAUUCAUGACUAAACUGGGUUCUAAGAAUUUCUAUUUUUACUCUCAGUGUUCAGUAGAGGUCAUUAAAAAAAAAUCUAGCAAUUUUUUUUUCUAAAAUGAAUAUGUAAUAAGAAUGAAAAACAAAAAGCACUAUAAUGUUUUUAAUUAAUGAAAUGCCUUUACGAACCAAGGUGCCAUCUUGGAGAAGCUAGGCAUUAUGAGGAGCUAUCAGGAGCACAUUUGCUAACAGCUUGGCAUGAGCAGGAUUUUCUUGACCAACUGGCAAGAUGGGGCUGCUCAGCUCCUGCUGGCAGAUUUUUAUGGAGCAUAGUUUUACAAAUUCAGCCUACAACUCUGAUACGUUCCAAUGUAUUUUAAACAUCUAUUCAGUUGCAACUCUAAUCCCAGGAACCUGUGGCUAACAGAAGGCAGAUUUAACUGACUAGCAGCUGUGGGAUUUUCAAAGUCUAAACUGAAAUGAACAUGCGAAACAGUUGGACUACCCCAAAAGCUGAAUUACAAUUCCAGCACUCACCAGCUCUGAAACCUCACUUGGUUACCUAACGCCUCUGUGCCUCAGUUCCCCAGCUAUAAAAUGGAAAAGGCAACAAUACCAACCUUGUAGAUUAUGUUUUGGAUUAAAUGAGGCAACACAUACACAGCACUUAGAACGUGCAAGGCACAAUGGAAGCAUGCAGUGAACAUGACUUGUAAUGAUGCUGACUGUCAUAACUCUCAUCCAUAGGGAUGCUGCCUCUGCUUGUCACCCUUGACCUAUAUAUUUUCAGGCAGUCCUCACCCAGUCCCCAUUUGUGUGUUCUAGAUAGAAAAGGCCCCAUACUAUGAAAUGACUACUGUCCUUCUGCAUGAAGCCUGGUGAACCUGAUAAUGUAGCCUUCAAGUUCCCUUACUGAGCCUUGAGCUCCCUUCAAAGUAUCCAAGCCAACCCUGUCUUGGGAAACUCACCUAGAUAAUGCCCUGAACCCCAAUAAAGGCUCCAGCCCACAGGUCCCUCCCUCUCUCUUGGUCCCCACCCUUUGGCUGGGCAUGUGUGUCCUCAAUGUCUCCAAGCCCUUCCAGUAAGCCCUGCAAGGUGUGCUGGCCACUGUUCUCUGGAAUCUGUGAGUAAUAAACAAUCUUUUUGCCAUUCUGCUCU
rnacentral:lncRNA from 1 species